UACAGAGGUCUCAAGCGUUGUUCGGAUUCAUUGGGCGUAAAGGGUGCGUAGGCGGCGCGGUAAGUCGGGUGUGAAAUUUCGAGGCUUAACUUCGAAACUGCAUUCGAUACUGGCGUGCUUGAGGACUGGAGAGGAGACUGGAAUUUACGGUGUAGCAGUGAAAUGCGUAGAUAUCGUAAGGAAGACCAGUGGCGAAGGCGGGUCUCUGGACAGUUCCUGACACUGAGACACGAAGGCCAGGGGAGCAAACGGG
rnacentral:rRNA from 1 species